GCAUUGGUGGUUCAGUGGUAGAAUUCUCGCCUGCCACUCGGGAGACCUGGGUCCGAUUCCCGGCCAAUGCA
rfam:Danio rerio unplaced genomic contig NA5, GRCz11 reference primary assembly.